rnacentral:rRNA from 1 species
CACUGGGACUGAGACACGGCCCAGACUCCUACGGGAGGCAGCAGUGGGGAAUUUUGGACAAUGGGGGCAACCCUGAUCCAGCCAUGCCGCGUGUCUGAAGAAGGCCUUCGGGUUGUAAAGGACUUUUGUCAGGGAGGAAAUCCCUAAGGUUAAUACCCUUGGGGGAUGACAGUACCUGAAGAAUAAGCACCGGCUAACUACGUGCCAGCAGCCGCGGUAAUACGUAGGGUGCAAGCGUUAAUCGGAAUUACUGGGCGUAAAGCGUGCGCAGGCGGUUUGAAAAGUCAGCUGU